UGAGGAAUAUUGGUCAAUGGGCGGGAGCCUGAACCAGCCAAGUCGCGUGAAGGAAGAAGGAUCUAUGGUUCGUAAACUUCUUUUGCAGGGGAAUAAAGUGCAGGACGUGUCCUGUUUUGUAUGUACCCUGAGAAUAAGGAUCGGCUAACUCCGUGCCAGCAGCCGCGGUAAUACGGAGGAUCCGAGCGUUAUCCGGAUUUAUUGGGUUUAAAGGGUGCGUAGGUGGUUUGAUAAGUCAGCGGUGAAAGUUUGCAGCUUAACUGUAAAAAUGCCGUUGAAACUGUCGGACUUGAGUGUAAAUGAGGUAGGCGGAAUGCGUGGUGUAGCGGUGAAAUGCAUAGAUAUCAGGAGGAACACCUGCGGUGUAGACAGCUUUCUGGACCAAAACUGACGCUGAGGCACGAAAGCGUGGGUAGCAAACA
rnacentral:rRNA from 1 species